GGGGCAAUAGCAAGAGGAUGGGUAGGGGGUACAGUAGGAGGGGGAAGACUGACGUACCGUCCUACUCUUUCAGAUAAGACUCUUUUAUCGCGUACCUUGCGAUACGAACAAGUAUACAACUUGUCUUCUAUAAAGAUUAAGAAUACUGUAAAUGUUCUGUUUUUCUCUGUUUUUCUCUUUCUUUCUUUCUGUUAUGUCGAAUCAAUGAUUUUUAUUUUUUUCCGAAGUUAAUGUUUCAUUAAUAUAAGUUAUACAUAUGUAUACUUGGUAUACUAUAGUUUUAAUAGUAUAUAUAUAUUUAUAUUAUAUUGUAGUACAGUAUUAUUUAGAGAUAUAUGUAUAUGCAGAGUAGACGGAUAGUUCCUAGGUUUUUAAAAUCUGAUAAAAAAGAAAAAGAUUAAAUAAAUAAUUAACCUAAAAAGUCUAGAAAUAUCGAGUAAUUGAUUUUGAAAAAUCACCUAAGGAGAUUCGACCCACUCUAUGCUACAUAUAACAUACGUACGUACGUAUAUAUAUACUAUACAUAAUAUAAAGAUAUAGUAUGUCUCAUAUUAUAUCAUUUGCAACGUAUGCACUUAUGCAGAUAAAACAGAAAAAGAAAAAGAAAUUAAAGAAAAAACAAAAAAAAAAGGAAAGAUUGAGGUUAUAGAAAAUGUAUUCGAAAGAAAAGGAAAAAAAAGAAGAAGAAAAGAAAGAAAAAAUAUAUAAAUAAAUAAAUGAAAUAAGAAAUAAAAAGACAAAAAAAUAUUUUUUGUUUUUGAAUUGGCAUCAGAAUCAGAGAUAGAAAGUCUGUGUUAUCGUAGAAAAUUUAGCAGUCGGUGGAGUGGAGUGGAGUGGAGUGGAGUGGAAUGGAGUGGAGUGGAAGGAAGGCAAGGCGCCUUUCUCAAAAGACCCAUCGACGGCGAUGCACGUCACGUAAGCCCCGUAGUUCCGAGGGCGCCCGAGCACGCCGUGGAAUACUGGAAUACUAGCGGUGAGAGAAUGUGCAGCGAAUGCUUCGACGUGAAUGAGAACGACGACAUUUUACGGAAACAGCAUUGCUCGUCGCCGCCGCCGCCGCCACCGCCGCCGCCGCCGAGUGUAACUCUUGAAUAUCGAGAACGCACGGGUUCGCGUUACGUGGCUCGCAUUUGUAGACUCUAGUGCGCAGACAGAAUUCGAGAUUGCUAUGUAUCCAAGAGGCACCUUUUAAUUAUUCCUAUAUUUUUAUCUAUUCUAUUUCCUCCUGCCGAUUUAAUACUGCCAGAAAUGUUUUUUAUUUUAUUUAUUUAUUUAUUCAUUUAAUUAAAAAUUGCACAUGAUACACGCGUCAACGAUUUCGUUCUCGAAUUAAUAAAUAUAUAUAUAUAUAUGGUGUGUGUGUAUAUGUAUAUAUAUAUAUAAAUUUCUUUGGAAACACUUUAUACUCGGAAUUUAUUUUUUUAAAUAACAAAAAAAAACACGAAGAUUCGAUAAAAAGAAAUUUGGAAAAAUAUCACGAGAGACUUACUUAUCGUAAUUUCGCUUAUCGUAAUUUACCCAACAUAUGAAACAAACCAAGGAGAAGUAACGGCAAAAAAAAGAUUGCCUCCUGUGAGGUUUGAACUCACGACCCCUGGUUUACGAGACCAGUGCUCUGCCACUGAGCUAAAGAGGCUGACGAUUUCCUUUGUUAAUCCAAAAUUGAUAAGGGCUGCGUCAAAUAUUUGGAUUAUUAUAUAAAAUAUUUCAUUUUUGUUAACAUAUAACGCUCUUUUAUCGUCGUAGUAUUAUAAAAUAAUGAUAUUUUAUUUUCAUAUUCACGUUUGAAAAAAAAAUUUUACAAGGACGCUAUUAAAUGUUGUUUACUUCUUAGGUAUUUAUAUAAGUUAAUAAUUGAUACAUUCAUCGAUCGAUGAUCUAUCUAUCCGAAUGAUGUAAUUAGUUUCGAUUGGACUAAAAAAAAAAAAAAAAAGAAAAAAGAAAGAGGGAAUGGUUUUUAUUUUUCAAUUUUUUUUUCGUUCUUUUUUUUUGCAACUGUUUUUUUCCUUCCAUCUUUAGAACUUAUAUGAACUUAUAAUCUUAAAAAUAAUUCUGUCAUGGCAAUCUUAGAUUUCUUCUUAAGAAAUAGUACGUGACGUAAAGCAGAUGUCAGUCAUCGCGCUUCCUGUUUUACUUGACGAUCACAAUAAAACCCUACUUUUGGGUUCCCUUUACGAGAAAAAAGGGGGAAGGGUCACACGCAACCUCCUCUCUUUUUCUAUGCGACUACGGAAAAGGGACAGAUGUUUUGUACCGUCUUAAAGAUUUUGGAGGGACCCCUUUUCAGUUCUGAGCUCUAUGCUCUUUGAGACGCAAUAAAGGAUCCAACGGAACGUACUCUCUCUCUCUUUCUCUCUCUCUCUCUCUCUCUCUCUCUCUCUCUCUCUCUCUCUCUCUCUCUCUCUCUCUCUCUCUCUCUCUCUCUCUCUGAUGGGACUAUUGUACGAUUAAGCAGAUGUUAUACUAUGAAUGCGCAAUGUAUAACGUGCGACUCGACAAAGGAAUCGAUUUACCUAGGGUUCCACAUAGAUUUUUGCAUUUUCCUCUGCAUUGCCUCUUUUACCAUAGAUAUGUGUAUGUGUGUGUGUGUAUAUAUAUAUGCACGUAAUAUUAAGAAACUACUAUAAUCCUUGUAUCCCUAAAUUUGAAACAUAUAUAAUCUUAUGUCAUAAUUCAUUUGAUCAUGUUUAAUCAUAUUUUAUUUGAUAGAUCCCAUUAUUUUACCAAACCUAAUAAAUCAAAUAAGUACAUAUGUAUAUAUGUAUGUAUGUAUGUGUAUAUAUAUGUAUAUAUAUAUAUCAUCGUUCAAAUCAUCACGUCAUGUUAUUCGAUUCUAUUUCUACUUUUCGCCAAAUCCAAGGAUCUAUCAUCUUUUAAAAAUCUCAUCAACGUAAUAUUAUAUGUACAAACAACGGCGUACGUAUUAACGACUAUCAAAAAAUUUGAACGAAAGAAGAAAACUGACAAUGUUUCAAGGCGAUUAAAAUUCUUGCCUGGUCAUUUCUUAUACAUAUCUUCUUUAUCGACAUUAUUCAGCCAAUUGAAAAGCUUCGAUCUCGUGACGGUAUGAUAAAGUAGAAAGAAGGAACGAAAGAAAAAUAAAAUAAAACAAGAACAGAAACAACAACAAAAGGAAUGGAGGAAUGCACGUAAGCGCAAGCACGUUCGAGAAGUUUCCCGUUGGAUAAAAGCGGACUGACUCGGCACCCCAACGUUCCUCGGGCUCUCCCCCGAUUGUUUUCCGUCCAUACAUAUAUCCAUACAUACGUACGUAUACAUAUACAUGUACAUGUACAUGUACAUGUACACAUAUACGUAGAUAGAUCGUAGGAAGAAGAAGAAUAAGGAGGAGGAGAAGGAGAAGGAGAACGAGAAGGAGAAGGAGGAGAAGAAGAAGAAGAAGAAGAAGAAGAAGAAGAAGAAGAAGAAGAAGACGAGCGAUCUCCGUUCCGUACCCUUGAACCUAGAGAAGAGAGGAACGUUGUGCAGCGUUGCCGUCUCGCAAGAAGACGGCGUCGCGUCGCGUCGCGUCGCGCGUCUCUACACCCUUUCGCCUCCCGUCGUGUCCCGUCGUGUCGCGUCGCGUCGCGUCGUGUCGUGUCGUAUCUCGUCGUAUCGCGCGACCGUCUCUCGAUCGGGCGUAGCCGGCUGCUCUCGGCGCUUCGCGCUUUCUUCGCAAAGAGAAGGAAUUCCUUCGUCGUCGACGGUUGACUGGCGCGAUGCCCGAGUACCGCUGACGUCAGCGUUACGCGGACAGAACCGACGGGGAACGGGAUGAUCGGGUUAUGUAAAAAAAUCAAACAGAAAAAACGAUCGAGUUUACUCUUUUCGAACGAGCACGUUCUUUCUCUUUCUUUCCUUCCUCUUUGCCUUUAACCUCCUUCGCCAUUUUUUUCGCCGAACGUUCAAUUUAGCGGGACGACGAUCGAUCGAUCUAUCUCUAUAAAUUUUAUUAUCGAUAUAAAAUAUCUCGAAGGGACAAUUAAAAGGAAAGAAAAAUUAGAAAAAAAUUUAACAAAAUAAUGCAUUCGUUAUUAUCCGGCAAAAAUCUAUCCGCGUAAGGAAAACAAAUGUUACGAGUUCUCUUCGAUGCACGUGACAAAUUUUCGUCCGAUUGACGAAGAGAACGUUGACCUUGGUCAAGCAGCCAUUACGCGAGCAGCCGUCGGUACUGCGUGUUUUCUUCGCAAAACUUACGUUUCCGCCGACGUUGCCGACGCAGAAGUGACGUCACGCGCGCGCACGGCAGUUGCGUUUACUCGCCGUGUAAUAUUAUGCGAAAAGCAUGGACAACGCGAGACGACGACGACGACGACGACGACGAAACGUGCGCGGUUAUGCGAUUAUUAUAUCGGUGAACGUGAUGACGAUGUCUUAUGGUAUCAUUUUCAGCGUUGUCGGGAAUCUUUUUUCUUUCCUUUUAUUUUUUUCUUCGUUCCUUUUCUCUCUCGCUCUCUCUCUCUAUCUUUUUUUAACUCUAAUGACUUCUAUUUUAAACGUUAUCACGGCGAUUUCAGCGCCAUCGACGAGUAUUUUCCAAAUUAUACCGAUUGUAUGCGAUAAACGUAUCGUUUCGUGUAAUAACUAAUACUACUGUGAGAUAAUUUCACGAACGUUUUUUAUCUCUACUGUGUUUUAUAGUGUGUGUGUAAUCAUAUAUAUACACACACACACAUAUAUAUAUACACAUAAUUAUAUAUACACAUAUGGAACGUUAAAAGAAAAAAAAAGAAAAAAAAAAUUGUUUAAAAAUAACUAAAGAUAAAAAUAUACCUAUCUACUCCUUGACUUCUAUGCAUCUCUCUCUUUUGUCUUUUUGACUUCUCUGCAUCUUUUCCUUCUCUCUCUCUCUCUUUAUCUCUCGUUCACACGCUCAUGUGCCAUUUACGAGGCAAACCGGUUUAUAUACUUUUUGCGAACUCCGGCUUCGCGAGAAUGUUGAUUUUUGCGACAUAUACCGCUGGGAACCUAACCUACAUCGUUACUCGAGUGAGUUGGACGCGGUGCUUGCCGUUUCGAUGCCCUGCAGACCUUGAACAUGUCGAAGGCUUCUUAUACGUUUAUCAUGCUCGAGAUCGUCAUCGAUCAAGUGCACUCUACACAAAAAUAUGUUUGUUCCUACGUGUUGUUUUUUUCUUUUCUUUUCUUUUCUUUAUUUUUAACUAGAGCAUAUUUAUACGAGUAUCAACAAAUUCAAACGAUAUAAUACAUGAAUUAGCACUCGCGAUAGGGAAUGCAACACGUGCCGAUCUCAUGAAUGUUUGUGUGUGCGUGCAUGGAAUGCGUGUGUGUGUGUGAGAGAGAGAGAAAGAGAGAGAGAGAGGGGGAAUGAGAGGAAGAGGAGCGAGAGGCGUGGAAGUAAAAGAGAGGUCGUCGGAUAAGAGGAACCGAUAUGAAAUUUAGUCACGACAGGAACGAGAGUCGAAUCGAACAACGCCAGCGGGGGGGUUAAUUUUUAUUCAAGGCACAUAUACAUCGCCGAAAAUAUUUUUACGUAUCUCUAUGUAAUGCGUACGGCAUACACAUGUGGCCCAUUAGCAGGUUAGGGCGACUAUUGUUCUCUCACUAACCUACAACACUUCAUAGCUCAUUGUCAUGCUUUAUUCGUUAUGUUCCUUCAACGAAGGUGAGAGCUUUUGAUAGCUCGAAAAAAAAAAGAAAAUAAAUUUACUUAACCUCUAAAUUGUAUAUACGAUAACUUGUAUGUAUCAAGAAUAAACAUCGAAUAAAAUGAAAAUAUAAUGAGAAUAAAAUUGAUUUUGGAUA